rnacentral:rRNA from 1 species
GACGAACGCUGGCGGCGUGCCUAAUACAUGCAAGUCGAACGAACCGCGACUGAGUGCUUGCACUUGGUCAAGGUGAGUGGCGAACGGGUGAGUAACACGUGGGUAACCUACCUCAUAGUGGGGGAUAACAGUCGGAAACGACUGCUAAUACCGCAUAGGACAUGGAAUCACAUGAUUCUGUGAGGAAAGGUGGCGCAAGCUAUCGCUAAGAGAUGGACCCGCGGUGCAUUAGCUAGUUGGUAGGGUAAGGGCCUACCAAGGCGAUGAUGCAUAGCCGACCUGAGAGGGUGAUCGGCCACAUUGGGACUGAGACACGGCCCAAACUCCUACGGGAGGCAGCAGUAGGGAAUCUGCCGCAAUGGACGCAAGUCUGACGGAGCAACGCCGCGUGAGUGAAGAAGGUCUUCGGAUCGUAAAGCUCUGUUGUUAGAGAAGAACAGCGCAUAGAGUAACUGUUAUGCGUGUGACGGUAUCUAACCAGAAAGCCACGGCUAACUACGU